GCGGGAGUGCGUGACAAUAGACCGAAAUGAGUGACUGUCACGCUCAAUGGGUGACACUUGAGAGCCCUGUGUUAUGGAUUCACCUGCUCCUGAGCUCAUUUCAGAUCUGUGGAUCAGAGAACUGAACUAGAUUCGGAGAUGAAUCGGAACCUUUCUGUACUAAAUCAUAUUUAAUAGAGUAAGUAACAUAUAAAAAGAUUAAAACGGACGAUGAUGGAGAGAGAGAUGUGGAGAGAAUUACCAUGUCAAAUGGAAAGGUUGUGGGCGAAAAGAAACCGAAACGAGACAGAAACUGUGGGCAGGUGUGGAAAGAUGACGCACGCGGUGAAAACCAGAAGAGCAUAAGCAUGAUGAUAUUAUACAGUUGAAAAACAUCAGACAGAGAAACAUUCACUACAGGUUUUCAGCGUGUGGAUAUUUCUGAGAGAAGGAGAAAAAUGGCAGAAAGAGAGGAUGAGACACAACGUGGCGAAUCAAGAGAGAAACGGUUGGUGAGAGUCAGAUGGAACAGCAUGAAUGGUGACAAACCAAACUUUUCUCAUGAUACAGAUGCACCUGAAGAGAUUCGUGGUAUUUGUUUACAUGGAUUCACAUAAGAGGAAGACGUCUGAUUGGUUCCUGUCCUCUAACUCGUGCCCUGCCCUGCUUGAUCAGCUGACUUCCUGCUGCCUAUAAAGAUCUCAACAUCACUUCCUGCUUCAGCUUUGUGCUCAUUUGCUGUGUUUACUCCUCAUUGCUCAGUUACUUAAGAAGACGUUUCUGUCACUAACAAAGUGGAUGGUGAGCAAAAGUGGUGGCCACGUUUUGGAGCAGCUCCUGGGUUUUGCAGAUGGCUGUGUUUUCUUUGGCUGCAUGUAUUUUUCUGUUGCCUAUAGAUUCUUUGUGAGGAUACAACAUAAUGCACUACAAAAUGUCCUAAGACAGGGGAAAUGGUGAAGAUGCACCAUUUGCAUUUAAGACAGUAUUUUUAAGUGUUAUGCAUGCAUUGUUUUAAAAAAAAGUAUUUUAAUUUUUUGAAAUCUGUAUUAAAACGAAUGAAUUACAGUAGUAUACUGUUGAAUUUGAAUUUUUAAUAGUAUUUGGCUGUAAAACAGCUACAGUUUGCAACUGUAAAUAAAAUACAGUUUGCUACUGUAAAUUCUAAUUACAGUAAAAACCCUUUGAAAUGUCUAACAGUGACGGUGCGUAACAACUGACUCAAACUA